rnacentral:rRNA from 1 species
GACUACAGCUGUGCCACCCUGAAUGUGCCUCGUUCUGAUCUCAGAAGCUAAGCAGGGUUGGGCCUGGUUAAUAUUUGGAUGGGAGGCCACCUAAGAAGACCAGGUGCUGAAGGCA